CACACACCUCUUCUCUCUGCCCUGCAGGUUUUGGGGUUUGAAGUUGAUGCAGUGAACUCCGUGCAGUUUUCCAACCACACAGGCUAUGCCCAUUCGAAGGGCCAAGUGCUGAAUUCACAGGAACUGCAUGAACUGUAUGGAGGUCUCAAGAUGAACAGUGUGAAUAAGUAUGACUACGUGCUCACUGGUUACACGAGAGACAAGUCCUUCCUGGCCACGGUGGUGGACAUCGUGCGGGAGCUGAAGCAGCAGAACUCCCGGCUCGUGUACGUGUGUGAUCCUGUGAUGGGUGACAAAUGGAAUGGAGAAGGCUCCAUGGUGAGUACACUCACUCUGCUAUUAGACAAGUGGUCUGUGCAUCUGAUUUGAACUAAGAGAAGGCAUCUUCUUGGGUAAAGCAGUGUGGCCCCC